UGUAAGCGUAUACCAAAGUUGUUGCAGUUAAAACGCUCGUAGUCGGAAUUUGGCAGUUCCGGAUGUGUGCGCGUCGUGUGCGCACUUCGCGGGGAUUGCUUUUGUGGUCUUGCGUAGGAUGAGGCACUUUUAUUAGUGAACGUCCUCACGCAACCACUUUUUACUGUGAGAAAAUCAGAGUGCUCAAAGCAGGCAUUUGCCGUGAAUGUAUUAGCAUGGAAUAAUAGAAUAGGACUUGGUUCUAUUUUGCUGGUUUGUUGGGACUGAGUAAUGAUUAAGAGGGACAGUUGGGGGCAUUUGUAUUUCGGUGCUAGAGGUGAAAUUCUUAGAUUACCGAAAGACAAACUGCUGCGAAAGCGUCUGCCAAGGAUGUUUUCAUUGA
rnacentral:rRNA from 1 species